rnacentral:rRNA from 1 species
CCUACGGGCGGCAGCAGUGGGGAAUAUUGGACAAUGGGGGGAACCCUGAUCCAGCCAUGCCGCGUGUGUGAAGAAGGCCCUCGGGUUGUAAAGCACUUUCAGUGAGGAAGAACGCCUGGUGGUUAAUACCCAUCAGGAAAGACAUCACUCACAGAAGAAGCACCGGCUAACUCCGUGCCAGCAGCCGCGGUAAUACGGAGGGUGCGAGCGUUAAUCGGAAUUACUGGGCGUAAAGCGCGCGUAGGUGGCUUGAUAAGCCGGUUGUGAAAGCCCCGGGCUCAACCUGGGAACGGCAUCCGGAACUGUCAAGCUAGAGUGCAGGAGAGGAAGGUAGAAUUCCCGGUGUAGCGGUGAAAUGCGUAGAGAUCGGGAGGAAUACCAGUGGCGAAGGCGGCCUUCUGGACUGACACUGACACUGAGGUGCGAAAGCGUGGGUAGCAAACAGGAUUAGAGACCCUAGUAGUC